rnacentral:rRNA from 1 species
AAAUUGAAGAGUUUGAUCAUGGCUCAGAUUGAACGCUGGCGGCAGGCCUAACACAUGCAAGUCGAACGGUAACAGGAAGCAGCUUGCUGCUUUGCUGGACGAGUGGCGGACGGGUGAGUAAUGUCUGGGAAACUGCCUGAUGGAGGGGGAUAACUACUGGAAACGGUGGCUAA